rnacentral:lncRNA from 1 species
AAGAAAUUCGUCAUUCGAAACAUAGUGGAGGCCACAGCAGUCAGGGACAUUUCUGAAGCGAGAGUCUUUGAUGCCUACGUGCUUCCCAAGCUUUAUGUGAAGCUACAUUACUGUGUGAGUUGUACAAUUCACAGCAAAGUAGUCAGGAAUCGAUCUCGUGAAGCCCACAAGGACUGAACACCCCCACCCCUAUUUAGACCUGCGGGUGCUGCUCCACUUCCCCCACCAAAGCCCUUGUAA